AAUGUCUCCACAGAGGGAGAGUCCACACCCGCCCUAGGCAGCUGUUCCAGGGCUCUGCCACCCUCCAUGGGAAGAAGUUUGUCUUCACGCUGAGGUGAGACUUCUUUAUGGUCAUUGUUCCUCGUCUUGUUGCUGGGUAUCACGGAAAAGAGUCUGGCACCAUCCUCUGACACCUGACUUGGAUAUAUUUAUAUGCAUUGAUGAGAUCCCCUCUCAGUCUUCUCUUCUCCAGACUAAACAAGCCCAGCUCCCACAGGAGGAGAAAUGGCACAGCCAAGCCUGGGACGUGCAGAGACAAAGCACAAGCGCCCCGGUGAGGGCUCAAGCUGGAAUCCGGAAAUAGUGACAUGAUUUUCCAAGAAGUGACCAAACAGAAAAGCUACCAGGAAAUGGAGAAGCACCAUCCAGUCACGAGACCAAGAACUACAGACUGGUGCUGCAUUCGGGGCUUGGUGGCUGAGGCAGCUCUGCACUGCAGCUGUCUCGUGCCAAGGGACCCCUUACCCCACAGGAACAAGUUCCUGAUGGAGAAUGUCCCCCCUGGAGACUCCCUUGUCCUACUCAGCUGCCAAAGGCUCUGGGUCAGAGCAGGGUCAGCACAGCUGUCCCAGCACAGCCACCCCCACCAGUGAGCCAAAGCCUUCAGGCUCUUGGGACCUACAUUUCAGUGAGUUCACCUCCCAUGGAGUUCAGCUUUCAGUAAAUCAGCACAACAAUCCUG